rnacentral:rRNA from 1 species
UGAAGAGAGCUUGCUCUUGGAGUUAGUGGGGGAACGGGGGUGAGUAAACACGUGAGUAAACCUGCCCCUUCACUCUGGGAUAAGCCCUUGGAAACGAGGUCUAAUACUGGAUAUGACACACUGUCGCAUGGUGGUGUGUGGAAAGUUUUUCGGUGGGGGAUGGACUCGCGGCCUAUCAGCUUGUUGGUGAGGUAGUGGCUCACCAAGGCGACGACGGGUAGCCGGCCUGAGAGGGUGACCGGCCACACUGGGACUGAGACACGGCCCAGACUCCUACGGGAGGCAGCAGUGGGGAAUAUUGCACAAUGGGCGAAAGCCUGAUGCAGCGACGCCGCGUGAGGGAUGAAGGCCCUCGGGUUGUAAACCUCUUUCAUCAGGGAAGAAGCGAAAGUGACGGUACCUGAAGAAGAAGCACCGGCUAACUACGUGC